rnacentral:rRNA from 1 species
UACGGAGGGGGCUAGCGUUGUUCGGAUUUACUGGGCGUAAAGAGCGCGCAGGCGGUCGUUCAAGUCGAGUGUGAAAGCCCCCGGCUCAACUGGGGAGGGUCAUUCGAUACUGAUCGACUCGAAGGCAGGAGAGGGAAAUGGAAUUCCCGGUGUAGUGGUGAAAUGCGUAGAUAUCGGGAGGAACACCAGUGGCGAAGGCGACUUCCUGGCCUGUUCUUGACGCUGAGGCGCGAAAGCUAGGGGAGCAAACGGG